rfam:Gossypium hirsutum cultivar TM-1 chromosome 12, whole genome shotgun sequence
GCGGAUGUAGCCAAGUGGAUAAAGGCAAUGGAUUGUGAAUCCAUCGUGUGCAAAUUCAAUUCUCGUAGUUCGCC